rnacentral:rRNA from 1 species
AACGAUGGCGACCGGCGCACGGGUGAGUAACGCGUAUCGAACCUGCCUCAUACUCGGGAAUAGCCUUGCGAAAGUAAGAUUAAUGCCCGAUGUUCUUCAUUUUUCACAUGAGAGAUGAAGCAAAGAUUUAUCGGUAUGAGAUGGCGAUGCGUCCCAUUAGCUCGUUGGCGGGGUAACGGCCCACCAAGGCAUCGAUGGGUAGGGGUUCUGAGAGGAAGGUCCCCCACAUUGGAACUGAGACACGGUCCAAACUCCUACGGGAGGCAGCAGUGAGGAAUAUUGGUCAAUGGACGAAAGUCUGAACCAGCCAAGUAGCGUGCAGGAUGACGGCCCUCUGGGUUGUAAACUGCUUUUAGUUGGGAAUAAAGUGCACCACGUGUGGUGUUUUGUAUGUACCAUCAGAAAAAGGACCGGCUAAUUCCGUGCCAGCAGCCGCGGUAAUACGGAAGGUCCAGGCGUUAUCCGGAUUUAUUGGGUUUAAAGGGAGCGCAGGCGGACCUUUAAGUCAGCUGUGAAAUACGGCGGCUCAACCGGCGAACUGCAGUUGAUACUGGAGGUCUUGAGUGCACACAGGGAUACUGGAAUUCAUGGUGUAGCGGUGAAAUGCUCAGAUAUCAUGAAGAACUCCAAUCGCGAAGGCAGGUAUCCGGGGUGCAACUGACGCUGAGGCUCGAAAGUGCGGGUAUCAAACAGGAUUAGAUACCCUGGUAGUCCGCACAGUAAACGAUGAAUACUCGGGAUUUGUGUUACACUGU